rnacentral:rRNA from 1 species
GACGAACGCUGGCGGCGUGCUUAACACAUGCAAGUCGAACGAAGAGCGAUGGAAGCUUGCUUCUAUCAAUCUUAGUGGCGAACGGGUGAGUAACGCGUAAUCAACCUGCCCUUCAGAGGGGGACAACAGUUGGAAACGACUGCUAAUACCGCAUACGAUCUAAUCUCGGCAUCGAGGAUAGAUGAAAGGUGGCCUCUACAUGUAAGCUAUCACUGAAGGAGGGGAUUGCGUCUGAUUAGCUAGUUGGAGGGGUAACGGCCCACCAAGGCGAUGAUCAGUGGCCCGUCUGAGAGGAUGAACGGCCACAUUGGGAACGAGACCCGGCCCAGACUCCUACGGGAGGCAGCAGUGGGGAAUCUUCCGCCAUGGACGAAAGUCUGACGGAGCAACGCCGCGUGAGUGAUGACGGCCUUCGGGUUGUAAAGCUCUUUUAAUCGGGACGAAAGGCCUUCUUGCGAAUAGUGAGAAGGAUUGACGGUACCGGAAUAGAAAGCCACGGCUAACUACGUG